GGUGAAGCGAUGCUUUGCAACCAUGGUGCUCGGAGACGGGAAAAAUCGGGUCUUCUCGGGUGGCCAGGCUGGCGGAUAGACAUUAAGGUUGAAGGUCACGAAAAAGGGAAAGGGGAAUGAAGUUAUACACUGAACAGCUCCAGCCCCUUCUCAUGGAUAAGGGUGCUGCUGAGCAAAUGCCAUGGACCUAUGAAGGUGUGUCCAGCGACUUGUGGAGGAAAGACUUGUAAAGAGAGGGUCCUGAAAAAACUGACCAUCUACUAUUCUUCUUAGCGUUCCUCAUAGUAUAAUGUAUCAUGGGAUACAUUGUCUGAAAAACACUUUGGACUGCCUGUUACAUCUAUGAAUACUUGAGAAAAAUCUUUUGUGUUAAUGUGUU